GACGAACGCUGGCGGCGUGCUUAACACAUGCAAGUCGAACGGAAAGGCCCUGCUUUUGUGGGGUGCUCGAGUGGCGAACGGGUGAGUAACACGUGAGUAACCUGCCCUUGACUUUGGGAUAACUUCAGGAAACUGGGCUAAUACCCGGUUGGAGCUCCUGCCGCCUGGUGGGGGGUUGGAAAUUUUCGGCGGUUGGGGAUGGACUCGCGGCUUAUCAGCUUGUUGGUGGGGUAGUGGCUUACCAAGGCUUUGACGGGUAGCCGGCCUGAGAGGGUGACCGGCCACAUUGGGACUGAGAUACGGCCCAGACUCCUACGGGAGGCAGCAGUGGGGAAUAUUGCACAAUGGGCGGAAGCCUGAUGCAGCAACGCCGCGUGCGGGAUGACGGCCUUCGGGUUGUAAACCGCUUUCGCCUGUGACGAAGCGUGAGUGACGGUAAUGGGUAAAGAAGCACCGGCUAACUACGUG
rnacentral:rRNA from 1 species